GACGAACGCUGGCGGCGUGCUUAACACAUGCAAGUCGAACGGAAAGGCCCUGCUUUUGUGGGGUGCUCGAGUGGCGAACGGGUGAGUAACACGUGAGUAACCUGCCCUUGACUUUGGGAUAACUUCAGGAAACUGGGGCUAAUACCGGAUAGGAGCUCCUGCUGCAUGGUGGGGGUUGGAAAGUUUCGGCGGUUGGGGAUGGACUCGCGGCUUAUCAGCUUGUUGGUGGGGUAGUGGCUUACCAAGGCUUUGACGGGUAGCCGGCCUGAGAGGGUGACCGGCCACAUUGGGACUGAGAUACGGCCCAGACUCCUACGGGAGGCAGCAGUGGGGAAUAUUACACAAUGGGCGGAAGCCUGAUGCAGCAACGCCGCGUGCGGGAUGACGGCCUUCGGGUUGUAAACCGCUUUCGCCUGUGACGAAGCGUGAGUGGCGGUAAUGGGUAAAGAAGCACCGGCUAACUACGUG
rnacentral:rRNA from 1 species